GUCACUGGCCAUGCCACCCUGAACAUGCCCAAGCUUGUGUGAUCUUGUUAAGCUAAGUAGGGUCGGGCCAGGUUAGUACUUGGAUGGGAGAGUUGCCUAUUCUUUGUACUCAGAAGUGAAUAACAGAAGCAGGAUU
rnacentral:rRNA from 1 species